rfam:Otolemur garnettii contig050424, whole genome shotgun sequence.
CAGUCUGGCCAGACACAUGGCAAUCUACCCCUCAGUUCAGGAGGUCUGUCUUAAAAAUAGUGGUGGCUCUUCAUGGCACAAGAGGACAAA